UCAAAAGUUGUAAUACAGUCCGCGCACACAUUGUGGCAAUUUGUUCAUAGGAAAGGAGUUAUCGAAGGUUUGGAUUAUAAAAAUGUUAUGUGGAAAACAUUCUUGAAGACAUUUAAUAUGUAGUCCUGUAUGUAAAUGGCCUGCACCGUUAGUAGCAUUAUAGAACAGAAUUUGCCUCGACAUGUGUCAUUUUUGUUUGUGAGUUUCUAAUUCUAUGCACCAUCUUCUAGCAAACUAGCGACAUAGAAAAAAUGAAUAUUUACUUCUAGGUUAACAACGACUUUGAGGAUUUGCAGAAAAUUAAAUUUGGCCUGAUUAUUCGCAACUCGUCUUAGGCCUAUAAAGGUCAGUGGGAUUUCAGAUCGGCAAUGACGAGAGACAAGAUCGCCGCCUGGGCCAGGACGCAAAUGUAUGCGAGAUUGCACCAGAGAUGUUCGUUGGAAUUGAUGCGAUUCGCAGAUUUCAAUGUUUUCGUCUUUAGCUUGAAUUAUUUUAAAUACACUUGAGGUUUGUAUAAUGUAAA